rnacentral:lncRNA from 1 species
CAGCCCCCCCUCUCUGAAGCACACCCUUGCUGAGAUCCCACUUGCUGCUUGUCAGCUCCUGUCUGUGCUCCCUGCUGCUGUGUCUGGGUUAAUACUAUGUGAAAGAGAAAUUGGCAAAUAGGGAAAGCCAUCUUUGUGUGCGUAUGUGUGUGUGAACGCUGCUGUUUCAUAGGCUCUGGCAGCUGCUGCAUGGCCGAUGAUGCUUGCUCUCUCUUUUCACCCUGCCUCCCUGCAGACAGCUAAUGAAUCAUUUCUAGCUUGAAUACAAGCAGUGCAAACACACCAAUGCUGCUGCUGCUGCCCCCCCCGCUCCUGCCGCCUCUCUCAACAAGGUUGUAAUUUGACACAGUAGACUGCAGUCCUCUCGGCAAUGAUCUUGCUGAACAUCGGAAGCACUUGAUUUGAAGUUUGGAAAUGAUCCGUCAUGUUUACAGCCUGCAGCAUCGCAAAAAGCAUUUGAUCGGACCCAGAUUUUAGAGGAAACCCAGAUUUCUAAGUCUCAUGUCACAACAUUAAGUCAAGAGUAUUGCCACUGGCGGUUUUUAGAAAAUGAACUGAAGGAUGCUGUGCAAGAAAAGAAUCGCCUGAGCCUUCAGUAUGCAAGUGUGUCCCACAAAGCACUGCAAUAUGACCAGGUGAAAUCAGACUAUGAACAUCUUAGAGAAACCCUUAUCAGAGUGACUAAAGAACGAGAUUUGGCUGUAAAGGAAAAACACCAGCUCCAAGCCAAGCUGGAGAACUUAGAGCAGGUCCUAAAGGUACGUAUAAUGCUGUGAAUUCCAGUAAUCCUGUAUUGCUGUUACUUAUUUACUAUUCCUGUUGUUCUUACAGUGAGUGACAGAAACCUAAGUACAUUGCAAACUAGGGGCCUGAAUGCCCCUACUAGUUAAGGCAGGCAGUACGGAAUAUAGUAGACAAAGUAUCUGUGAGGGAUCUUAAACUAUCAGGAAGAGAGAUAUCUUUGGAGACCU